CUUACAAAGAAAAACAAAACGCAGAAAACAGAAACAGCAAAGAGGAAAAAGUGAACUCUAAACGCAUUGCAUAACCGGCCCUAAGCAGAACGUCGUAUCAUUAGCCCAGCUUAAGGAAUUAUUAUGCUAUAAAUAUGAGAAACACUAACGAUAUACACAUCAUUGUGCUCAUUUGCUGUUUGCUACAAGGUUUCGCGUUGGGCGUGCGCAUGAUUAAGGUCUCCAUACCCGCCUUCAAAAUGCGUGGUGAAUCCGCCUUCAUGGAAUGCCAAUAUGAGUUGAAUCGGACGCACGGACCACAGAUAUCCAGCAAUGGGCAUCGAGAGCGCGAUCGCUAUCCACAUGGCGGUAGCGAUGUCCACUACGUGGAUGCGGAUAAUGAAAGACAGUCAUAUCGACGCAUGCAUCAGGGACAGCGACCAUAUCAACAGCACCAGCAGCGCCGGCAACAGCAUCAGCCGUUGGCUCUGAGGCAGUAUCAGAGCCAGUCGGAGGGGCAUAACCCACCACUGCCGCCGCCACAGUCACCCUAUGGCCACAGCGUAUAUCGGGGCAGUGCAGCGUCCGGAUAUCUGGGCGGCCGGCUGAGCGCCAGCGUGAAUAAUGGUGGAGGAGGCGGGAGUAUGGGCAAUGGUGGCAGCUCCAGCGGUUCCAUUUCGUACAUGCCUGACUUUGGCCGCGACGAUAAAUUCAAUGAAAGUGAGGAGGGCGAGGAUGAAGAUGAGGAGGCGCAGGAGGAGGGCGAGGCGCUGUACGCCAUCAAAUGGUACAAAGACAACGAGGAGUUCUAUCGCUAUGUGCCAAAGGCUCGUCCGCCCAAAACCAGCUACCGUGUGGAUGGUGUGCGCGUCAUUGAGGAGCUGUCCGAUGCUAGUCGCGUUUUGCUGCGGGGCCUGACCCUAAACUCCACAGGCCUCUAUCGUUGUGAAAUCUCCGCUGAGGCGCCAAAUUUCUCAUCCGUUCAGGGCGAGGGUCGCCUGGAUAUUGUUUUUCUACCACGAGACGGCCCUCAUAUUAGAGGACAGCAGUAUCAGUAUCAAAUCGGUGAAUAUUUAAAUUUAAAUUGCACAUCGGGGAAAUCACAUCCUGCCUCUCAUCUGCAGUGGUUCGUGAAUGAGCAGCCGAUACUGGAUGAGCACUACCUGCACAAAUACACCGAUAUCGUGCAUAAGCAUGGACUAAUCACCUCAAUACUGGGCCUGCAGCUGGAACUGGAGCCGCGACACUUCCAGGAUGGCGACAUGCGCGUCAAGUGCCUAGCUAGCAUAUCGCCGGUGCUGUGGAAGGGUGGCAAGGAGAGCAUUCUGCAGCGCCGACCUGGCAUUAUUGACAAUCGCGAGACCAUGCUGCUGGUACGCAGUGCGGCUGGCCAAUCUGGGAGCAAUAUACUGCGCCUACUGACCAUCACCAUCAUCCUGGCGCGCAUUGGUCAGUGGCUGCUCAGUCCCGAGCUUACUUAGAGUGAUUUGGAAGUGGUGUCCAAGGCAGACACAUGAUUUUCAAUUCAAUUCAAUUGCAAUUGCAGAGCAUAAAUGGAAAUUUCCCCGGCAACCACUCAAAUCAAUAAGCGAAUAUGUCGAAAAACCUUUUGACCGAAAAAUAUCAAUGUCAUAAGGAGAGAGAGCCGGAGAGUCACUCAUCAAUUAAAAGGAGACGACAAAUGUGGUAAAUCUAGUGCAAAUACGUGGCUCGUGGCUCACAUACGUAAAGCAUAAAGUAAAUCAUAUCGAAAAUGAACAGUGAAAUUUUAAACAAGACGAGAAACCGAAAUCGAGAAUUUAUCUGUUUGCUUCACGUGAAAUCCAAUUAAAAACAAUUCGACAAAAAAAGCAUUCCAAUUAGGCACACAGUUAAGAGAUAGUCGAGAGUAGCAGUUUCUGUGUAAAUAAUUGAAGGAAAGUAAAGCAAAAUUCAAGCCUCACACAUACGUGUACCGAUAAUUGUAAGCCUCAGAUAUUUCAUUUGCGUCAAUUUCAAUGCACAGAAUUUACUUUUGUAUAAAUAAAUUUGUUAAGUGAGUAGUCUUUCAUUCAAAGUCAAUAGAAUUUUGUAAACUGUUUAAAUGGCUGGUGCUCUAAGCAUUUAUUAAAAUUCUCGAAUUUUAUACACUACUAUUUCAAGAGCUCGUCUUCUAUUUGGAAUACAAAAUUAUAAAACGUUGAAAUGUAAAAGAAUUAACUCAAUUCGAAAUUUCGUUUCUCCCUUGUGCAGUAGUAGUAUUUGUGGGGCUUAAGAAAUAUAAUAUUACGAAGAAAUAAAAAAUAUGUUAUGACUAACUUAGAUUUUAAGCAGUUUUAUUUGUAGUUGAGUGGGUACAAAUAAUCCAUGCAGUAUA
rnacentral:misc_RNA from 1 species